UUUUUUUUUUUUUUUUUUUUUUUUUUUGGUGUGAGAAAACACAAAAUAAAUAAACACAGAACCAGGACACCACCACAUUUGAGAGCAAAUAUCAGAGCUGGGAAACCACAGACGCGACAGGAAGGCUUCCCUGGUAGGAAGCAGGGGGAUGGGAAGCGAGUUACUGAGGUUACAGGAAAAUCCGCAGGAGGGAGCAGUGCUGGGAAGAACAUCCUGGGAGGACUGAGGGCUGAAUUCUACAGUGAGCCCCAGACCCAGAAGAAGAAAAUCUGGCAUGGGCCAGGGCCACUCCAUCUGCUGGUAGGAACCAGCCAAGGAGAAAAGGAGGCAGGAGGACAAGAGACUUUGGAGGGAGAUGAUAAAGAAAGAAUGGGUGAGUGGUAGGAAACAGACUGAGCCCAGAGAGAGGAAGGGGCUAAACCAAGAUUACAGAAAGUCGAAGCAGUGUCUCAUUCACUACUGGGGAUGCAAGACCUGUUGGGAGUCAGGAAACCUGGGUUCUGGUCUUGGCUCUGCCUGUGGUUUGCUGUGUGACCUUGGGUGAGCCACUGCCUUCUCUGGACCUGAUUCCUUAUCUCAAAAAAUGAGGGCGCUGGACACAAAAGGACAAAUACUGUAUGAUUCUACUUAAAAGAGAUACUUAGAAUAGGCUAAUCCACAGAGGAAAAAAAAAAAAGUAGAAUAGAGGUUACCAGGGGCUGGGGACAGGGGGAAUGGGGAGUUAUUGUUUAGUGGGUACAGAGUUUCAGUUUGGGGUGAUGAAAAAGUUCUGGAGGUGGCGGUUACACAUUGUGAAUGUACUUCAAGCCACUUAGAAAUCUUUAAAAUGGAAAAUUUAAUGUUAUGCAUAUUUUGCCAUAAUUUUUUUAAAAAGGAAGGGGUUUAGACCAAAUUAUGUUAUGGCCUCCUUGCUAUUCAUGAAGACUAGUGAAUGGGGUAAGGAGGGUAUUGUCCCCCACCCCAGGGCCAGGGCACUGAAAGGCUGGGCUGGGGACACUGAGUGUGGUCAGACCACUCUCCAUUUGUGUAGAACCUGACACUUUUCCAAGGGGACUCGCAGGCACAGUGUUGCAGUUGGUCCUCACCACAGUUACAUGGGGUGGGACGUUAUCCUCACUUUAUAGACGGGGAAACUGAGGUAUAGACUAGCCACAUGAUCUUGCCAAGGUCAUUCACGUCGGUGGAUUUUUUACUUUUUAAAUAGUCACCUGGAAAACAUCCUUGCAUCUUAGGUUCACCCGUUGACUCACCAACUGGCUCAGUGGCCCUAGAUGAAAGGAUACAUGCUAUAAAUUAGUAGAAGAGUUCAUCUCCUGGGGCAAACAUGCCUGCUUCCCAUAAUUGGAUGAUGAAAAUUAUAAAUCCUGAUGUGUUUCUCUUUUUACCAUGGCUGCCAGGAAACUCAAGAGUAAAAUUUAAUUGCAUGAUUAUAGGAAUUACACCAGUUAGAUUUAGAUAAUAAUUUGUCUUUUUUUUUUACUUCCUAUUUUUAUUUUAUUGAACCCCUCUGACUAAUAUUGUAAAUAGCCUCUGAUCCUUUUUGAAAAUCCUUUUUGAGUAAGAAAAUCAGUUUGGUUGGGGACUCGAUCCCUUAAGUCCCUGCUCAGGGCUUAGUGCUCUUUUUAAGAUACGGCAUCAUGUUUCUUGGUUAAAAGAAAGAUAAGGCUGGACGUGGUGGCUCAUGCCUAUAAUCCCAGUACUUUGGGAGGCCAAGGUGGUGCUGGGAUUACAGGUGUGACCGCUGCGCCCACCCCCCAACCCCAGGAGAGUUUGUUAAGCAUGCAGAUUCAAGGUGGGGUCCAGGAAUCUGCAUUCUGAACAUGCCCUCAGAGAAUUCUGCUGAAUGGGGACCUCAGAUCACCCUCUGGCAUACACAGGCUCAGUGAUCUAGAAUGGACUUGUUUUAUGCCUGGGUUGGCCAGCAGCAUAUUCUGGGUAUUCUGGACCCACAAAAAGCCCCCAGUAGGGCAGUGGAUUUGCACAGCAAACAGGACAGAGUUGGACUCAAGUUCUCAUCUAAACUCAGUGUGACUUCUUGUGCUCUGGGAUGAGAACUGUGCCUCAGUUUCCUCAUCUGCAAAAUGGGUGCACUAACCCAUGUCCUACCAAGGCUGCCUCCACGAGUUGUCCCUGAGAGGUCUGAAGGAGAUGUGGGGUGGGAAACGAUUUCUUUUUUGAGACAGGGUCUCACUCUGUCAUCCAGGCUGGAGUGCAGUGGCGCGAUCUCUGCUCCCACAACCUCUGUCUCCUGGACUCAAGCGAUUCUCCCACCUCAGCCUCCCGAGUAACUGGGAUUACAGGUGUGCACCACCACACUCAGCUCAUUUUUUGUACUUUUAGUAGAGACAGGGUUUCAACACGUUGGCCAGGCUGGCCUUGAACUCCUGACCUCAAGUGAUCUGCCUACCUCAGUCUCCCAAAGAGCUGGGAUUACAGGAGUGAGCCACCGUGCCCAGCCAGGGGACACGUUUUCUAAAUAGUAAAGUGCUUUAGGUGGGAUGUGUAGGGGAUGAUGAUGACAAUUAUUAUUACUAUUAUUAAGGAAGAAGUAGUGGGAGCUUGGGGGGUCUGGUGAGGCUAGAAGCAGGGGACAUUCUAGAUAGGAGGGGAGAGGAAGAAAGAGCCUGGACGCUGGGUGGGCCAGAGGAGAAGAGGCUGGGUGAUGAAACCAUAAAAGUGCAUGUGGGUGGACGUGAUGGAACCAUGUCAGCACAGGGUGUAAGAGGGUCAGGUCUUUGAGCCCUUGGCCUUGUCACAUCGGAAGCCAACUUGUAGAACAGUGCCCCUGGAGAUGCCUACAGGUGGGCUCCAUCUUGAGUUCAUAGAAAGCAAGACCUCUUAAGGUCAGCCUUUGGUGGGAAAUAAACUGGGGGAAAGGGCUGGCACAGGGUCAGGGAAUUGGAUUCUGAUGUCUCGUGCAUGCAGGUCUAAGAGCCACUGAUGCACCGAAAUGACUUGAUUUGCAUUCCAAUGAAGUCAUCAUUCCGAAAGGGGCUGAUUUGGCUCUGGAAAGAGGUCAGACAUAUGAAACAUGAGGUUUCCCAGUUUAGGACCAAUCAUGCCAACUGGUCCCCCAUUUCCCCCAACCAACUGGUGCCAACCCCAUGGACCCAAGCCAAGUGGUCUAUGGGGGAUUGGGACCCGAGGGUUCCUUGGGACUUUGGUUGAAGAGAGAGUGGAGAUGGGGAAAGGAGAAAGAAGGAUAAAGGAGGAGGAGGAAGGGGCUAGCAGUAAAAGGCAGAGAGGCAGGAGGAAGGGGGGAGAAAGGGUUCGAGAAGGGCAGCAUUCCUUCUUGGGACCCCGAUUCUCCAGGGAAUCCCCACUGUGGGUCAGGCAGUUUUCUGCUUUGGGAAUGUUACCAAGACUUAAAAGGCAUUUGAAGAAAGAAACAAACUUAGAAAUUACAUUCUAAAAGAGUAGAGAGUUUUUACAAACCAAUCCCCCCACCCCAAAAAAGAAAACACAACCAGUUACCAAGUAAAAUGCUAAAAAUCGAACCAAACCAAUAUUUACAUGUAACGUUUUCAACCCCAUCCAGCCCCACGUCCGGAGGCUUCUGCAGGAACAGUGAUGAGUGGCCUUGCACAGUGGCAUGCAGGAAGUAGAAACUGGGGCUUUACGGAAAACCAAGGUCUGGCUGAGACAACGAAGAUGGCAAGGACAAUCUUGGAUAGUAUGAUGGUAAGGCUGAGUGGUCCGUAGGUCUUGGGGCUCAUGUCCCACGGGGAUUUCUCCCCGAGGCUGGGUACGCAGCCUCCCUGGCUCUCUGUCGCUCUGGGAGGUGGCAGAAGGCCUCUGGUGACAUGUGGCCUGAUGUGAAUCCCCUCACCUGGAGAUAACCUUGGCGGGCCCCCCUGACCUCAUGGGUGAGAGCAGCAGCAUCCCAGAGUGGAACUGGCCCACAGCUCCACUGGCUGCCUGCUCUGCCCACACAAGUCACUGGGGCAUGGAGGAAGUGGCUGGCGGGACUGGCAUGACCCUGGUGUUCAGCCUGCAGGGAAGGGAGAUGCAGGACUUGGGGUAACUGGUCCAGGUGAUCCCGAAUGGAUGGGUCUGGGAACUGGCAGGUGGAGGUGGGAGUGCAUGGGCGCCUCCAGAGUCCUGGGGGCAAAUCAGCAAAGCUACUGGCUUUUGGUCUUCCUGAUGGGCAAUUCUGCAGACAAGCUGAUCCAUCCUGGUGUUUCCACUCUGGGUCCCCAGUCAGUUACAGGAAGGCUGCAUGUCUAUGUGUGUCGGGGGAGCAUGUGUGCAACCAAAAGGGGUUCACCGGCACCAAGGGGAGGCCAUGGGAGGCACUCCCCAACAUGCUGCAAUGAGCCACGUUGAAAUCCAACCAAUAGCUCAGGCAGCUCACGGAGGACGUGAGAAAGGGCAGGCAGCAGAGCUGGGGCAGGGAGAAGAGCCGUGAAAGGCCAUAAGGCUAAGGAGAGAGGCUGGUGAAAAGGCUGGCAGGCUGGUGAGAACCGAGGCAGGCUGGGAGACACUCAGGUUCAUGUGCAAAGCUGCGAUAAACAACAUUAUCAAAGUUCAGUCCUGUUUUCCUGCGAGUUCUCAUUUGGGAAACUUGGAAGGAUCUCCACGCUCUUGAUAGAGCCUUAGUAAUCCACAUUCAACUCAUGAAGAAAGGUGUCAGAGGGAGGGAGGGAAAUGAGACAGACAAGGAGAAUGUCUGGGGAGUGGUGAUGGCUGUUCAGCCCUCCACCUUGUCAGUGAGUAUUUACAGACUGACAGCUGGGGUUGGCCAAGUACCAGGCAUUGAGUAAUAAGUAGUGUUCUGAGGCCACAUGGCCAGCAGUGUUGGGGUACAGGGCUCCAGCUCUGUUGAGGGGCCCUCCAAAACUGACCAGGAGACCAGGUCUCCAAACCUGGCUGCCAAGCUGCCUUGUCCACCUGGGGGACCCCGUGGCUGUCCAUGCCAUUAGAAGCCCCAUGUUGUCCCAGUGGCAAGAAUGCAUGUUUCAACCUCCAAUAAAUUACCUUAAGGACUUUGGGGUAAAUUAAAUUAUUAAAAUAAAGUAAAUCACCUUAAAUAUUUAUAGUAUGAAAAAUUCAAAUAAACAAUCUAGGCAAGAUAUAUGUUUCCAGGCCCCAGUCUAUUGCUGUGUCCUGGGCUCUGGCCUCUCGGUGUUCUCCUGGGCCUGACCUGGCCAACCAAGAGUCUCUUACUGGGAAUAUCUUUGCCCCCCUACCAGCUGCAGGAUGUAAACACAGUGGAGAUGUAGUGCCUACCCCCUCUUAGGGUGCCAGGGAGAGGCCUCUGAGAUCAAGAUCAAGGCAGUGUAUUCAGGCAUUUAUCUAUGCACCAGGUCUUGAGACUGACUCUACCUAUUUCUAUCCUCAAAGGGUCUGCUGGGAACAUUGGGGUCCCAAGUCACUUUGGCAAGGAAGGCAAUUGCAAUCACUCCCCAACCCUGAGCCCUGCAGAUUUCCACUUUGCCUCCCAGCUCUUGCUGCAGCCAGGCUAUGGGCAGGGAGAUCCAGGGCUCCAGGACUCCAAGCAGAUACUUGGCCCUGGCUACUGCCCUAUCAUGCCCCCUAGUGUCCCAGCAAUCUAGAGCAGUGGGCCUGGGAGGAGGAGGUGGUGGAGAGAAGGAGGUGAUGGUGAUGAUGCCCAGCAGUGCUCCACCAGGAACCCAACAUGGAGCCCUAGAGCAAAGCCUGUUCUUCUCAGCAGUGUCUCCUCCUGAAUGAAGGGGUGGA
ensembl:lncRNA